CUUGCUGAUUUUAACCAUAUAAUUAAGUGUUGCAAAAGAAACUUACAAGGAUUCCCCUAGUAACGAUGAGCGAACCUGGAAGAAGCCAGCAUGAAAAUCGGGUGGCAGUGCCACUUGAAUUGUAGUAUGUAUAAGCAUCCUUAGCAGUGUAUCGGGCCCAAAUCCCCUGGAAGGGGCCGCCCGAGAGGGUGAAAACCUCGUCAGGUCGGGACCCUGCCGCACCAUGAGGCAUUGUAGGCGAGUUGGGUUGUUUGGGAAAUGCAGCCCUAAUCAGGUGGUAAAUUUUGUCCAAGGCUAAAUGCAUGCAAGAGAUUGAUAGUGAACAAGUACUACGAGGGAAACAUGAAAAGGAAUUUGAAAAUAGAUUUAAAGAGUGCUUGAAAUUGUCAAGAGGGAAGCGGAUGUAGGCCAGUGAUGUGUGUCGGUCAGAUGUGGAACAUAUCACGUUGGUCGGUCGCUCGACUUGACAUGGAAACCAACACAAGUCAUUACAUCGACACAAGUGCGGGUCGAGUACUGCCUGUUGGUUUUUCAUUGUGGCGGUCGAGGAGCAGAGAAUCAAGGGAUUCCACCAACAAUAUUUAAAUUUAUUUUUAAUCGCUUGCCAAUACUUCUUUUAGUUUGUCAAUAUUGAGCUCGCACAUGAGGUAGUUUAUAUCUAU
rnacentral:ncRNA from 1 species